rnacentral:lncRNA from 1 species
GAAUAUUGAAUCAAAGAAAAGACAUUUUUUUGAAUCUGGAAUUGAACCUUAAUGUUCAUAUUUUGCAUCUGGAAUCGAAUCUGAACCUGCUUUUAUCAUGCAAUGUGAGUAUCUAUUAAGCCUUUUUUUUAUAAGAAAAUAUAUGGUAUGCUUACUUUAAUUUAUUAUCGAUUGUAACUUUCAGUUGCAAUAUUUUGAUGCCUUCAUCUGCUGCCUUCUACCGCUGAUUGUUGUGCAUUCACCACUAUUGUGAGUAUUUAUUUGCAAAAGAAUUCUGACAUGCUUAAUUGAAUCUCAUCUCAAAUACAUUUAUGAUUAAUUAAACCUAUUUGUCAAUUGGAACUUGAAGUUACCUUCACAUAAUGACUCGCUUCCCACAUGGUGCUGCUUGCUAUACACACUCAUUGCUAUUUGGAAAUUGUGAGUAUUUGUUGGAAAGUAAAUUGUUCUUUGUUAUCAUACUUGAAAUUCAUUGAAUUUAUAUUAUUCUAUACGAAUCUGUUUUAAAAUUCUGUUUUGGUGUAGGUUUACUCUGUUUUAUCCAAAACAAAUUUUGCUGCAAUUCUGCAGGUAUAGUAGUUAAAUUGGAUCAGUUUUAAAAAUUCUGCAGUUCUUAUUUUGACUGAGUUAUUCAAUCAA